rnacentral:rRNA from 1 species
AAACCAGCACCUCAAGUGGUCAGGAUGAUUAUUGGGCCUAAAGCAUCCGUAGCCUGCUCUGUAAGUUUUCGGUUAAAUCUGUACGCUUAACGUACAGGCUGCCGGAAAUACUGCAGAGCUAGGGAGUGGGAGAGGUAGACGGUACUCGGGAGGAAGUGGUAAAAUGCUUUGAUCUCUCGAUGACCACCUGUGGCGAAGGCGGUCUACCAGAACACGUCCGACGGUGAGGGAUGAAAGCUGGGGGAGCAAACCGGAUUAGAAACCCCAGUAGUCC